AGUGAACGCUGGCGGUAGGCCUAACACAUGCAAGUCGAACGGCAGCACAGUAAGAGCUUGCUCUUACGGGUGGCGAGUGGCGGACGGGUGAGGAAUACAUCGGAAUCUACUUUUUCGUAGGGGCUAACGUAGGGGAACUUACGCUAAUACCGCAUACGACCUACGGGUGAAAGCAGGGGAUCUUCGGACCUUGCGCGAUUGAAUGAGCCGAUGUCGGAUUAGCUAGUUGGCGGGGUAAAGGCCCACCAAGGCGACGAUCCGUAGCUGGUCUGAGAGGAUGAUCAGCCACACUGGAACUGAGACACGGUCCAGACUCCUACGGGAGGCAGCAGUGGGGAAUAUUGGACAAUGGGCGCAAGCCUGAUCCAGCCAUACCGCGUGGGUGAAGAAGGCCUUCGGGUUGUAAAGCCCUUUUGUUGGGAAAGAAAAGCAGCAGGUUAAUACCACGCUGUUCUGACGGUACCCAAAGAAUAAGCACCGGCUAACUUCGUG
rnacentral:rRNA from 1 species